AAAAAAAAUGUUAUCAUGAGCAAUUAGUGUGAAACACUAAUUAGUUUAGGCAAUUAUCAUAUUAAUCAUUCACUAUAUUUAUUAUAUUUCCUUAAUGAGUCUUAAAUGUUAGUUUUAUGGGAGAAAUUACAGCCAUAAAUUUAUCUAUUGGGAGAUGAAAUCUUGGCCAUCACUUACACAGGCUAACUUGUCCAAACUGUGCUUUAUAUUCUUGAUUUGUGAUGCGUGGUUCAGGAGAAAACAUGCAAAACCCAUUAGGCAAUUAUGAUUCUUUGCACAUAUUUAUCAAUUAAAGUAGUUGAUUAAUAGGAAUGAAAAUGGUGGUUGCGAUUCUUGACAGCAAACGUCUUCAUAUCACCAAGGUGGAGAAUCUGAUGUAAAAAAUCAAAUAAUGAGAUAUCUUAAUUUGUUUUUUAUAUUUAUUAUAAUUUUUAUUUAUGAUCUUAAUUAUGAGGGAACCCAGUCAAAGUAUAUUCGUGAUGAAAAGAGGUUACAAUUUUUACAUCCAUCAUAUAUCUAUGGCUGGGAUGAGACUGGGAUGGUUACAACUUUGUCUUUGAAAAUGCUAUCCGACCAUCCAAGACUCAGAAUCCCCUUCUGUUUUGUAUUAUAGAUUUCUCUAUAAUUGGCGAUCACGGAUCAUAAAUAAAUUAAUUAAUUUUCAUUCAA